rnacentral:tRNA from 1 species
UGGCUCAAUGGCAGAGCAGCUGAUUUGUAAUCAGCAGGUUGUUGGUUCGACUCCAAUCACC